rnacentral:lncRNA from 1 species
AGGGGGCGGAAGUCAGCAAGCGGAGAGCUGCACAGAGCUUGGGGGCGCUCGGGCGGCGGCGGGGCUGGCACUCACCUCGGCGGCGUGCGGCGGGCUGCGGACGCUACCGGUUAGGGCGGCAUGGUGGCCCGGUCCCCGCCCCGGCUGCUGCUUUUAUGCAACUGGCAGCGGCUCCUGCCUUGGGGCCUGGAGGGGAAACAGCCCGCUCCGCCCCCGUCCCCGAAAUGACGCGGCUCCGCCCGUCCGCCCCUUCCCCGCCCAGCCCGGCUGCACCCCCUCUUCCCCGGCGCUGAGAGGCUGGGCCGGAGGAGGAGCACCGGGGCCUGGGCUGCCCUGCCCGGCCCGGCACGGAGAGGAAGGCCGGAGGCGCCGCGGGGCAGAAGCCAAGCCCCGACCAACACCAUGUCUGAAAUGCUGUACAGUAGAGGAGACAUCUAGUGGCUGGGUAGCAUGCUGCAAGAAAACAUUACAGCUUAAAGCAACAGGUCCUUUUACAUCAAGAAACUUUCAGUGAUCCUCCUCUCUGACUUAGGGGACGAGAGCUAAGGAACGUUCUAACACCCUUACUCUACUUGCGCUACUUUGAUGGCAUCAUCGUCUGAACCCAUGGAAAAGAAGCCCUCGAGGAAUUCCACCAUGACUUUAACAAUUUCCAUCCCACCAUCAACCUCAGCCUAGACCAAUCCACACAAGUGGUCCAUUUCCUAGACACUACUGUGCUAAUAAGUGAUGGUCACACAAACAUGCCAUAUACCGGAAACCUACUGACCGCUAUACUUACCUACAUGCCUCCAGCUUCCAUCCAGGACACACCACACAAUCUAUUGUCUACAGCCAAGUUCUAAGAUACAACCGCAUUUGCUCCAGUCCCUCAGACAGACACAAACAAACACCUACAAGAUCUCUGUCAAGCAUUCUUAAAACUACAAUAUCCACCUGCUGAAGUGAAGAAACAGAUUGACAGAGCCAGAAGAGUACCCAGAAGCCACCUACUACAGGACAGGCCCAACAAAGAAAAUAACAGAAUGCCACUAGCUGUAACCUUCAGCCCCCAACUAAAACCUCCCCAGCAAAUCAUCAAAGAUCUACAACCUAUCCUGAAAGAUGAUCCCUCACUCUCAUGGAUCUUGGGAGACAGACCAGUCCUCGCUUACAGACAGCCUCCUGACCUGAAGCAAAUAUUCACCAGCAACCGCACACCAUACAACAUAAACACUAACCCAGGAACCUAUCCUUGCAANUACAAG